rnacentral:rRNA from 1 species
AGGUUGGGAAGCACUGCCCUAAAAGCACCAGAUCGCACCUGAACUUGGAGGCUAAGUAGGACCAGUUCUGGUUAGUACUUUGAUGGGAGACCUCCAACACAUAGAAGGUGCUGUAGGCUGUAUUUC